rnacentral:tRNA from 1 species
AAUGAUAUGCCUGAUUAAAGGAUUAUUAUGAUAUAAUAAAAUAUGUAAUUUUAUUAAUUACUAUCAUUU